UGGGGAAUAUUGGGCAAUGGGCGCAAGCCUGACUCAGCAACGCCGCGUGAAGGAAGAAGGCUUUCGGGUUGUAAACUUCUUUUCUGAGGGACGAAGAAAGUGACGGUACCUCAGGAAUAAGCCACGGCUAACUACGUGCCAGCAGCCGCGGUAAUACGUAGGUGGCAAGCGUUAUCCGGAUUUAUUGGGUGUAAAGGGCGUGUAGGCGGGAAUGCAAGUCAGAUGUGAAAACUAUGGGCUCAACCCAUAGCCUGCAUUUGAAACUGUAUUUCUUGAGUGCUGGAGAGGCAAUCGGAAUUCCGUGUGUAGCGGUGAAAUGCGUAGAUAUACGGAGGAACACCAGUGGCGAAGGCGGAUUGCUGGACAGUAACUGACGCUGAGGCGCGAAAGCGUGGGGAGCAAACAGGAUUAGAUACCC
rnacentral:rRNA from 1 species